rnacentral:lncRNA from 1 species
ACUCACCCGCUAAGGCUUCGCGCCGCCCCAUAGAUGAGAUUAGGGGCGACUCCGAUUCUCUUUUUAAGGAUGGCCUGUGCCAGGUGGAGGAGGGAGAACUACCGAGAUGGAGGAUGGAGGCGCGGGGGUGGAAGCAGCUGAGCCCGAGGCCAUUUGGGAGCCCGAGGCCGCGCCCUGGCCUGGAGAUGGGGCUCCUGGGUCCAGGCUUGCACAGCUCCACGCCCAGGUCGCUGGAGCGUCGCUGCGACCCCUUCCUGAGGACGGGCCUGAGUUUUGCAGAGGUAGAAACGAGUGUUUUUAUAACCCUCCCCUGUCACCUGACCCCGGACAGACUUGGCACCAUUUGUCCAGGGCAGAGAAGUGUUUGGUAGUUAAACUGGCAAACGCUGGCUGUGCUGUGAUACUAAAAAGGGCUAUAAUGACAGCUCCCGGAUCUAGCCCAUUGGGGUCUGCAUGCCAUCUUCGCUGGGUUUCCUGACCCCGCGCCCAGAAACGGCUAUUCGAGCCAGACUUUUGGAAGUAAGGGUGCAUUAAGUUAACUGUUCCAAAAUUACAACUUUUAAGUUUAGGCAUGCAAGUGCACGCCUAAGUCCCAGCACUCGGGAGGCUGAGGCAGGAGGAUUUGGAGUUCGAGACCACUCUAGACUACAUAGUAAUGCCAUUUUGGAAAAAAAUGCAUCUUUUGGUUUGAAAAAUUAUGGUUACAUCUUUUAAAUCUUAUGUCUGUGGGUGUUCUGCCCGCAUGUAUAUCUGUGUACCACAUGCAUGCUCAAGGAGGCCAGCGGAGGGCACUUAGAUACCCUGGAACUGGCGUUAGCAGUGAUGAGUUGCCUUAUGGGUGCUAGGGAACCAAAGCUAGGUCUUGUGGGAGGGUCACCUCUUAACAGAUUCGCAGGCUCUCUGGCCCCCUUUGUGGUUAUAUCUUGUGCAUCCAUAUGCUCACUAUGGUACCAACCUUUCAGUCGCAUCUUGUUUGGCCUGCCCUAGGUAGCUAUUUCCUCAGGAUGGAAAGCGGGACUCGGGACACCCACAAGAUCCCAGAGGCCUUCUGGAUCAUGUAAGGAGUACACUGUUGCUGGUUAGAGGAGGCUUUCUGGAGCCUUGCAGGCUGUGUCAUGAACCCCAGUGAGCAUGUUUUCCCAUGCUAGGGUGGACUUCACAGUGUUGGCACUGCCUCAGUUACCCAUACACCUCUAAAUAGCCAUGCACUUGUAGGUAACCCCUAUGAGCUUAGCUGUUCACUGAGGCAGAGCUGAAUGGAAUUGAGGCAGAAUAGAAAGACAGAGACAUCAAGGCCCAUGGGAACUGAGAGAAGCCCUCAACCUGACCUUUCUUGCUGGCUGACUGAGAGUUAAGAAACCAGCAAGAUUGAUAAAGGCAGUAUUGCCUCCAGAGACAGCGAGUUUUCCUCAAGACAACACUAACAGGAUGUUAAAAACAGGAAAUAAAUUGUGCACACUCAUGGCCAGAGUGUUUGUGAGGAUCUAGCUUGAAUAACAAAAGCACCAAAUUAAGCAAGAGACCCUGUCUUGAAAAUUCUCCCAUCUCUUGAGGACCUCUGACCUAUAAGUACCCAGGCAGACAUGCAAAUGCAUGUGCACACACACACACACACUCAAGAAUAAAAUAUAAGCUCGACUUGGCGAUGGCUGGAGAGGCGGCUCUGUAAUUAAUAGCACUUGCUGCUUUUGUAGAGGACCCAGGUAUGGUUUCCAAUACUCACACAAUAGCUCACAACUAUCUGUGCUACAGUUCCAGGGGACAUGAUGCCCUCCUCUGACUUUUGAAUGUGCAUGCUGCACAUACAUACAUACAUGUAUGCAAAACACUCAUAUACAUAAAAUUAAAAAAAAAUUUUUAAGUUACCAGCUCAUGUAUUUUACUUAACAUUAACUUAUGUAAUUAGUUAUUUUGAGGCAGGAUCUCAUAUAGCCCAGGUUAGCCUCAGACUUCCCAUGAAGCCUGGGGUUCCAUCCCCUGUACUGUAUAAACGUGGUGGUGGUGGUGGUGGUAGUGGUGGUGGUGGUAACUCGUGCUUGUAGUUUCAACACUUGGAAAGUGAAGGUGGGAAGAUCGGAAGUUCAAGGCCAUCCUCCUUUACAAAACGUUAAGCUUUGACUACUCUUGAAAGCUUAUAAACUGCAUCUUUUGAAGAAUGUGACUUAGCAGACUAUAGGUUGCUAUGUGCAGCCAUUGUGAAGCUAAGUCUGACUUCCAGGGAAAGCCCACACAGCCGUCAUGAGACUGUGUAUUCUCCUCCUCGGUGACUGUCUCCAUAUUUAAUAAACUCACUGACUUUGCUUCU